rnacentral:rRNA from 1 species
UACGAAGGGGGCUAGCGUUGCUCGGAAUCACUGGGCGUAAAGCGCACGUAGGCGGACUCUUAAGUCAGGGGUGAAAUCCUGGAGCUCAACUCCAGAACUGCCUUUGAUACUGGGAGUCUCGAGUUCGGGAGAGGUGAGUGGAACUGCGAGUGUAGAGGUGAAAUUCGUAGAUAUUCGCAAGAACACCAGUGGCGAAGGCGGCUCACUGGCCCGAUACUGACGCUGAGGUGCGAAAGCGUGGGGAGCAAACAGGG